UACGUAGGGGGCAAGCGUUGUCCGGAUUUAUUGGGCGUAAAGCGCGCGUAGGCGGCAAGGUAUGUCGUGCGUGAAAUCUCCCGGCUUAACUGGGAGGGGCCGUGCGAAACUGCCUGGCUUGAGGUCGGAAGGGGGAAAGUGGAAUUCCGGGUGUAGUGGUGGAAUACGUAGAUAUCCGGAGGAACACCAGCGGCGAAGGCGGCUUUCUGGUCCGAUUCUGACGCUGAGGCACGAAAGCGUGGGGAUCAAACAGG
rnacentral:rRNA from 1 species